UGAAUUCAACCAUUGGUCACCCAAUGAACCCACAGCAGCCAAAGGGUGAGCCACUUCCUUCUGUGGUGAAAUUAUUAAUUUUCUGUUUCGAAGGAUUGUGAACUUUUGUCCUGAGAGCUGCAACUACAUGCGAUGUUCCCAGAGCAAUUCCAGUCCAUUCUAUCAAGUGGCAGUUUCACAGAUAUAUUUUGACAGUACAAGCAGGACCAGGCCUCCAGCUUAUCGAGAUUUGGGAAAAAGUAACAAGAAAGAGUGGACAGUCUUUGCCUAGUAGCUCUUUACAGCCAAGGUCGUGAUCCCCGGGCCUGUUAAAGACCCCCCUGGGGUUGAGGCUGCAACCGGAUAUUUAAAAUAACAGUGCGAGGGUCCUGCUGGAGCCCUGCGCUGCGUGAGGAGGGAGCAGGAGAGGUUAGGGGUCAAGACACUGGCCAACAUACAUCAGCAAGUGCCAGUGCAGAGCCAAUGACUCUAUCAAUGAAAGACAAAGAGAAGAAAUCCAGAGCAAAUGAGUACAAGAACAAUAAAACAAGCUGUUUAAAACA
ensembl:lncRNA